GGAAGGAUGAUCCAGUGGUUUGGAUAUUAGCCAGAGACCUGGGUUCAAUUCCCUGCUCUGCCA
rnacentral:tRNA from 1 species